rnacentral:misc_RNA from 1 species
CCUAACGAUCGAACCCACCGGCUAUAGGCUCGUCGUUUCAUAUUCCUUUGAUCAAUAAUAUACUUUGAACUUCAAUAUUUUUCAUCUUCAAAUCAAAUUUGGGCGACGAAAGCUCCAUUUUUUUUAACAUCUUCCUAUACAUUGGAUCUUACUUUCAUUGAAUUUUCAAGAAUUUAUUGUAUGGCAAAUUAUUAUGUAACGGCGGUUCCGCCGACGGAUCUGAAUCGGAAUACCGAGUGGUUCACGUAUCCCGGUGUAUGGACGACCUACAUCCUAAUUCUAUUCUUCUCAUGGCUCGUUGUUCUCUCUGUAUUUGGUUGCUCUCCUGGCAUGGCUUGGACCAUCGUCCAUCUUUCUCAUUUUCUCGUCACAUAUCAAUGUUUUCACUGGAAGAAGG